UGUGGUGUAGCUCAGUGGUAGAGCACUUGCCUUCCAUGCUCCAUGCCAUGGGUUCAAUCCCUAGCACUACCA
rnacentral:tRNA from 1 species